AAGAAAGAAAGAAAGAAAGAGAAAGAUGUGGUUGAGAACAGAAGGCCAGCUAAAAUUGGAAAAGAAAAUAAAUACAAAAAAAAAAUUUCAGGGAGAAUUUAUGUUAGUUUAAAUCCCUAUUUCUUUUGCCAGGCAGAGAAAUCCUAAGCCUGUUACAUGAUCUUAAACAUCUUUCCAAGUGCUUCAGUGAAUCACUGCCAUUACCAAUAUGGGCAGAAAUUUACUAUAUCAGCUUCCCAGACACUGAACACAGUGUUGGCAGAGCUGAUAGGUAUUAACUCAGUGAGUCAGAUAGGGUGUUCUUUUUUUAUCUUCAAGGCACACAGGAGCAGCUCCAGCCAUGUUGCCCCUGCAGCUGCUGCCAAAAUCUGGCUUGCCAGUGUGGUAAAUCUGGAACUGCUGAUGAUUGGCACUGCAAGACUUGCAUGAAUGGGUGAUUCUUGAUAUUGGAGGAGGUGAUCCUGGAAAACCAGUAAGAAGCAUCAGCACAGUGGAAGAAAACCAGUGAGAAGCACCAUGGAGAAGAAAGAAGCAAAGAGCACAGAGCAACAGGCAGCAGCUGUUAUGAGCACAAUCCAACUUCCAGGACCACCCACUGCUUCACUGCAGGAAUUGGGGUGGACAGAGUAUAUCCUGCAGCAAGAAUAAGGGAAAUUGAGACUAAGAAUUAAGGAGGAUAGGUGUUUGAAUUCAGGUGGGCCUGAGGAGGAAGAGGAAAAGAUGUUUACUUGAGUGUUUAAUUGUUUAUGCUAUCUUUUUUUUUCUGAUAACUGCAUCAGUGAUUGAAAAUUUCUUUCAAUUGGUAAUUCAUUAAAUUAAGUAAAAGUUGCCCAGUUUUUGCCUUUGAAGCUGGCAAGUGCAAUAGCCAAACCUUCACUUCAUGGACAUCCUUUAGCAUAUUCUGCUUUGAUAAAAUGGAGAUGCAUUAAAAUCUUCGGAAACUACAGGUAAGAUUAAGAGUCUUUAUCCUGUCUAAGUACUCUGAAGAGAAGAAUAUGUACAAAACUAAAGGAAGCUUUGACUGCAUUAAUACUAGGCUGACCUAAAGGUAAUUAAUGUUACCAGCUGAUAUGCUGGGUUGAAUUUACUCCUGUACUUCUGUAAUUGCUCAGCUCCCAGACUACAUCUGGUUUAUAUCUGUUCUGGAGUCAUGGAACAGACACACAAAAGGCUGCACCCAUCUCUAGCUAUUUCCUAUUUCUUUGUAGGUUAAAAAUGCAAAUUCUGAAAUUGAAUAAACAACAAUAAAAGCAAAGAAACA
rnacentral:lncRNA from 1 species